CCAGACUCCUACGGGAGGCAGCAGUGGGGAAUAUUGCACAAUGGGGGGAACCCUGAUGCAGCAAUGCCGCGUGGGUGAAGAAGCACUCCAGUGCGUAAAGCCCUGUCAGCAGGGAAGAAAAUGACAGUACCUGACCAAGAAGCCCCGGCUAACUACGUGCCAGCAGCCGCGGUAAUACGUAGGGGGCAAGCGUUAUCCGGAUUUACUGGGUGUAAAGGGAGCGCAGGCGGCGUGGCAAGUCAGAUGUGAAAACCCGGGGCCCAACCCCGGGAGUGCAUUUGAAACUGCCAUGCUGGAGUGCCGGAGAGGUAAGCGGAAUUCCUAGUGUAGCGGUGAAAUGCGUAGAUAUUAGGAGGAACACCAGUGGCGGAGGCGGCUUACUGGACGGUAACUGACGCUGAGGCUCGAAAGCGUGGGGAGCAAACAGGAUUAGAUACCCCGGUA
rnacentral:rRNA from 1 species